CCUACGGGAGGCAGCAGUGAGGAAUAUUGGUCAAUGGGCGAGAGCCUGAACCAGCCAAGCCGCGUGAAGGACGAAGGUGCCAAGCAUUGUAAACUUCUUUUGUCAAGGGACAAAAUCAGGCUCGAGAGCCUGACCGAGGGUACUUGAAGAAAAAGCAUCGGCUAACUCCGUGCCAGCAGCCGCGGUAAUACGGAGGAUGCGAGCGUUAUCCGGAUUUAUUGGGUUUAAAGGGUGCGUAGGCGGACUGUUAAGUCAGCGGUAAAAGCCCGGGGCUAAACCCCGGCGAGCCGUUGAAACUGGUUGUCUUGAGAUGUCGAGAGGUAUGCGGAAUGCGCAGUGUAGCGGUGAAAUGCUUAGAUAUUGCGCAGAACUCCGAUUGCGAAGGCAGCAUACCGGCGGCGAUCUGACGCUGAGGCACGAAAGCGUGGGUAUCGAACAGGAUUAGAUACCCUAGUAGUC
rnacentral:rRNA from 1 species